ACCAUCGUUGCAGAUGCUCAUC
rnacentral:miRNA from 1 species